AAUCAUGGCUCAGGAUGAACGCUAGCGGCAGGCUUAACACAUGCAAGUCGAGGGGCAGCAUAAUGGAUAGCAAUAUCUAUGGUGGCGACCGGCGCACGGGUGCGUAACGCGUAUGCAACCUACCUUUAACAGGGGGAUAACACUGAGAAAUUGGUACUAAUACCCCAUAACGUCAUGAAAGGCAUCUUUUAUGGUUGAAAAUUCCGAUGGUUAGAGAUGGGCAUGCGUUGUAUUAG
rnacentral:rRNA from 1 species